rnacentral:rRNA from 1 species
AACGAACGCUGGCGGCAUGCCUAACACAUGCAAGUCGAACGAAAACUUCGGGUCUAGUGGCGCACGGGUGCGUAACGCCUGGGAACCUGCCCUUAGAUUCGGAAUCACCCCCCGCAAGACGUGCUAAUACCGGUUCGUAUCUUCGGACCAAGGAUUUAUCGCCUUUGGGUGGGCCCGCGUGGGAUUAGCUAGUUGGUAGGGUAAAAGCCGACCAAGGCGACGAUCCAUAGCUGGUCUGAGAGGAGGGUCAGCCACACUGGGACUGCGACACGGCCCAGAGUCGUACGGUAGGCAGCAGUGGGGAAUAUGAGCCAAUGGGCGAAAGUCUAAGACAGCAAUGCCGCGGGAGUGAUGAAGGCCUUAGGAUUGUAAAGCUCUUUUACCCGGGAUGAUAAUGACAGUACCGGGAGAAUAAGCUCCGGCUAACUCCGUG